UGAGAAGAUGCGCCGAGAAACUCAGUGU
rnacentral:sRNA from 1 species